rnacentral:rRNA from 1 species
AUUGAACGCUGGCGGCAGGCCCAACACAUGCAAGUCGAACGGUAACAGGAAGAAGCUUGCUUCUUUGCUGACGAGUGGCGGACGGGUGAGUAAUGUCUGUGAAACUGCCUGAUGGAGGGGGAUAACUACUGGAAACGGUAGCUAAUACCGCAUAACGUCGCAAGACCAAAGAGGGGGACCUUCGGGCCUCUUGUCAUCGGAUGUGCCCAGGUGGGAUUAGCUAGUAGGUGGGGUAACGGCUCACCUAGGCGACGAUCCCUAGCUGGUCUGAGAGGAUGACCAGCCACACUAGAACUGAGACACGGUCCAGACUCCUACGGGAGGCAGCAGUGGGGAAUAUUGCACAAUGGGCGCAAGCCUGAUGCAGCCAUGCCGCGUGUAUGAAGAAGGCCUUCGGGUUGUAAAGUACUUUCAGCGGGGAGGAAGGGAGUAAAGUUAAUACCUUUGCUAAUUGACGUUACCCGCAGAAGAAGCACCGGCUAACUCCGUG